rnacentral:rRNA from 1 species
GAUGAACGCUGGCGGCGUGCCUAAUACAUGCAAGUCGAACGAACAUAUCAUGAGCUUUCUCCUCUGACGUUAGCGGCGGGCGGGUGAGUAACGCGUGGUUAACCGACCUAAAACUCUGGGUUAGCUGCGGGAAACCGUAGCUAAUAGCUGCUAAUAUCUUGAACCGCAUUGUUCAAUAUUGAAAAAGAGUGUUGGUGGCUCUUAGGGAUGGAUCCGCGCUGCAUUAGCUAGUUGGUAAGGUAACGGCUUACCAAGGCAACGAUGCGUAGCCGACCUGAGAGGGUGAUCGGCCACACUGGAACUGAGACACGGUCCAGACUCCUACGGGAGGCAGCAGUAGGGAAUCUUCGGCAAUGGGCGAAAGCCUGACCGAGCAACGCCGCGUGAGUGAUGAAGGUCUUCGGAUCGUAAAACUCUGUUAUUAGGGAAGAACAAAUGCGUAAGUAACUAUGCACGUCUUGACGGUAGCUAAUCAGAAAGACACGGCUAACUACGUG